AAGCUCGCUAACCUAACAAUGGAGCGAAACAUCAGUCGGUAUCAGAAAUGUAUAUCGGUGUCUAACAAAGAUUUAAAUAUCACGAAAUUUUACUCGGAGCCGAUAUUCAUAACAUACCACAGAUCCUUACUGCUUAAGCCCGACCGAUAAAACGAUUUUCUUAGAAUAAUGAAUGAAUAAAUAUGUGGAUUUCAAAAAAUUUUCAAGCGUUUCAACCCGAUUAAGCCAUUGGAGACAAAUAACAUGAAAAUACAUCAUCAUUGCCCGAUUUAUACAGAACUCAAACACCGUUAAACGUCUUAACUCGAUGGAGCCAUUGGAGGCAAAGAAUAUGGCUAUAUAUCGUAAUAUUGUGGUACUUGCAAAUACAUUUACAUAUUGAUAUAAUUAUCAAUUGCAUUACUAUUAAUCAAUCAAAAUCAUGUUUCUUCUGAUUUGCUUUGAACUCUGUCAUGACCCGAUUAGGCCGCUGAAGGCAAAGAACAUGAAACACAUCGUCAGAACCCGAUUUAUACAGAACUCAAACACCGUUAAC